rfam:Picea glauca, whole genome shotgun sequence.
UUUGACUCAACACGAAAAAACUUACUAGGUCUAGACAUAGUAAGGAUUGACAAAUUGAGAGCUCUUUAUUGAUUCUAUGGGUGGUGGUGCAUGGUCAUUUUUGUUAUGGAUCUUCGUGCAUUUCGUUACGACCGUUCAUGCAUUUCAUUAUGG